rnacentral:tRNA from 1 species
GGAGGCGUCGCAUAGUUGGCCUAGUGCGCCCGCCUGCUAAGUGGGUUGGGGACUCAAAUCCCCUCGAGGGUUCGAAUCCCUCCGCCUCCG